GCAAGAGGGACAGUGGACAGUGAACAUGCACUAGGGGUAGGCAGAAGAUACUUUAACAGGUACCUGCCCAGCACUCCCCUAUCGUUACACCCUAGGCAGGUGCUUCUUCUGCUCACCCCUAGUUCCGACCCUGAAUGAGUCCCUGACUUAAUUAGAGAGUCACAAAGUGAUUUUAAUUUUUUUAGCAGGAGAAAAGAUAAAACUGAAGAAUUUAAGGAUUUGCCUAGAGCAUAUAAUGCAAUAUCCGCUAAGAAGAAAAAGAUCAAGAAGUCCGGAGGAGAACCCAAUUGCAGGAGAAAAGAUAAAAUUAAAGAAUUUAAGGAUUUGCCUAGAACAUCUAAAGCAAUAUUCACUGAAAAGUAAAAGAUUGAGAGGUCCAGAGGAGAACCCAGCUGGUAAGGAGAACAAAACUUGAAAGAUAUUGAUGUAGGACUUAAAGGGGUGCCCGACCCAAAAAACAAAUCCCCACAGGCUUAGUAUUUCAAAGCAUCUUUCCAAUAUACAUUUAUUACAAAUUUCAGUGGUUGUAUUGUACUUUAUGUUAAUUUGCCUGUAAUUUCACUGCAGAAAUGGCCAAUAUCAGACAUGUCAGUAAGAUCACUGCAUCAAUGCAUAGAUUACCUCACCCAAACAGAAUACCGCAAACGCCUCUUCUUUUCCCAAUGCUGCUUGUCUCUAUUUGCCUUCCCUGUCUAGCUGAAACUUCUAAAGAUGUCCGUGUAUUCCACAGACAUCUUUGAUUUAUUUCCUUCUUCCACUGAUGAUCAGGGAGCUGUAUACUAGGGCACUGGCAGUCCAAGCCAGGUCCACAAUAAGCUGUGAGCUGGAUAUGACAAGUCAAAAAUCAAUUCAAUUAUUUUAUUGGUUGCUAUCAGUAACUGUACCAGUAGAAUUUAGCACCUAUGUUGCAAAUAAAACAGCCAUAUCAUGUGCAUGACGGCCAAAAAUGAUAAAUGAGUCCCUGAUUAAAUUAGAGACUAAAGGUCACACAAAGUAACAAUUUUUUUUUUUAGCAGGAGAAAAGAUUACAAUUAAAGAAAUACAGACAAAUAAACAAAUUUUCAGAGAUGGAGAUCGAAAGCAGUAUCCACUUCGAAGGAAAAGAUCAAGAAGUCCAGAGCAGAGCCCAGCUGGAGGAAAAGAGAGCGUUAGAGAGGACGCCGAAACAUUGCAGUACCUCGAUAUUAAAAAUUACAGCCUUAUUAAAGAACUAGGAGAAGGCAACUUCGGCAAGGUGAGUGGUGAGCUUCUAUGGCAAAAUCUAUUGGAAUGAUCUGGAAUGAAACCAAAAGGAGACAGAAAUCACAAGAGAAUUAAGCAUGCAAAUUUAACAUGUAAACUCUUCUCUGAUCAGUGGAAGUACAUGUGCUAUAUUUGCUGUAGAGAAUAUUUUCCCUUAUCUAAAGGACACCCCUAUCUUCAUUCCUAUUGAAGAAGGAUGGUCAGUCCCAGGCAGGGCACAUAC